AGAGGCAGCAUGGAGAAACAGAAGCGGCAGAAAGGGGGAACGCAGAACUUGCGUGCAAAGAAAUGGAAGAGUCUCACUUUAGAUGCUGCAAAAUGCGUAAAAAUCACAGACGUGUUCGCUGCUGUAGCCACCACAUCCUCUGUAGGUGAAGACAGCAGCAGCAGCAGACAAGGAGAGGAGCAGCCAAAGAUGCGGGCUUUUGAAAGGGAAGCCGAGGGACAGACUGAGCAGGAAAGCAUAGAAUGUGUUCAUUGUUGCCGGUGACUUCAACCACUGCAACCUGAGGAGUGUCCUUCUCAAGUACCAUCAGCAAAUGAGCUUUCCGACGAGGGACAGCAACAUACUCGACCAAGUCUACAGCAACAUGACGGGGGCCUACAGGGCUGUGCCUCGGCCGCACUUCGGAUAGUCCGACCAUAUCUCCAUGUUCCUCUACCCAGCAUAUAGACAAUUCCUCAAGCAAGCACUUCCAGUGAGUAACACUAUCAAAGUGCGGAAUGAAGAAACUGACUCAGUGCUUCAGGACUGCUUUGACAGUACAGACUGGGAUGUCUUCAGAAAUGCUGCUGUGAGAGAGGACUGUACUGUUAAUCUAGAGGACUAUGCUUCUGGGGUAACGAGCUACAUCAGCAGCUGCAUUGAAAGCAGCAGCAAAGCACUGCAGAAAAUACCCCAACCAGAAACCCUGGAUAAACAGUAAAGUUUGGUCCAUGCUA